rnacentral:rRNA from 1 species
GGGCCUAAAGCGUCCGUAGCUGGCCGCACAAGUCCGUCGGGAAAUCCGCCCGCUCAACGGGCGGCCGUCCGGCGGAACCUGUGUGGCUUGGGACCGGGAGGCCUGAGGGGUACGAUCGGGGUAGGAGUGAAAUCCUGUAAUCCCGCUCGGACCGCCGAUGGGGAAACCACCUCAGGAGAACGGAUCCGACAGUGAGGGACGAAAGCCAGGUUCUCGAACC